GCGUUCGUCAUCGACAAUGGCUCUGGCAUGUGCAAAGCCAGCUUUGCAGGCGACAAUGCUCCCCGGGCCGUCUUCCCUUCCAUCGUGGGCUGCCCUAGGCACCAGGGUGUGAUGGUGGGUAUGGGUCAGAAGGACUCCUACGUGGGCAACGAGGCCCAGAGCAAAAGAAGUAUCCUGACCUUGAAAUACCCCAUUGAACACGGCAUUGUCACCAACUAGGACGAUAGGGAGAAGAUCUGGCAUCAUACCUUCUACAAUGAACUGCGUGUGGCCCCUGAGGAGCACCCUGUGCUGCUCACCGAGGCCCCCAUGAACCCUAAGGCCAACCAUGAAAAGAUGACCCAGAUCAUGUUUGAGACCUUCAACACCCCAGCCAUGUACGUAGCUAUCCAGGCUGUGCUGUCCCUGUAUGCCUCUGGUCAUACCACUGGCAUUGUGAUGGACUCCGGAGACGGGGUCACACCCAAUAUGCCUAUCUAUGAUAGCUCUGCUGUCCCUCAUGCCAUCCUGUGUCUGAACCUAGCUGGCCGGUACCUGAGAGCCUACCUCAUGAAGAUCCUGAAAGAGCGUGGCUACAGCUUCACCACCACAGCUGAGAGAGAAAUCAUGCAUGACAUCAAAGAGAAGCUGUGCUGUGUUGCUCUAGACUUCGAGCAGGAGAUGGCCACUGCCACAUCCUCUUCCUCCCUGGAGAAGAGCUAUGAGCUGCCUGACGGCCAGGUCAUCACUAUUGGCAAUGAGCGGUUCCGAUGCCCCGAGGAUCUUUUCCAGCCUUCCUUCUUGGGUAUGGAAUCCUGUGGCAUCCAUGAAACUACAUUCAAUUCCAUCAUGAAGUGUGACGUUGACAUCCGUAAAGACCUCUAUGCCAACACAGUGCUGUCUGGUGGCACUACCAUGUACCCAGGCAUUGCUUACAGGAUGCAGAAGGAGAUUACUGCUCUGGCUCCUAGCCCCAUGAAGAUCAAGAUCAUUACUCCUCCUGAGCGCAAGUACUCUGUGUGGAUCGAUGGCUCCAUCCUGGCCUCACUGUCCACCUUCCAGCAGAUGUGGAUCAGCAAGCAGGAGUACGAUGAGUCCGGCCCCUCCAUCGUGCACCCCAAAUGCUUCUAAGCAGACUGUUACUGAGCUGCGUUUUGCACCCUUUCUUUGACAAAACCUAACGCGCAGAAAAAAU